rnacentral:rRNA from 1 species
AUGGGCUCCAAGGCGGCGCCUUCAGGAAGGGAACGACACCGGAGCGCCGCCACCGCCCGACCCGAGGAUCAGAGUUUCCUCUCGAGCCACAUGACGGGCAAUGACAGCCGCGACGACGCCUUCAAAAGGGAACGAGCUUCGCCGCCGCCGGUCCGUCCAAAGAAAGAACAGGUUUUCACCCCGGCCAACACUCACCGCCACCCAACACCACACCCCGGCUACCAUGCCGCCCACACGGCCAUGGCCACCGGGCAGCACCAAGCCACGGGCUCUGCCCAAGAGCACCGCGCUACCACCACCAGGGCCGCCGCCCCGGCAUCCAAGACCUUGACACCGCCUCACCCGAGACCUGCCGCUACCCCAACCAAAGAGACGAGUGGAAAGGUCCCACCUUUCGCACCCGUGGGCGACCCCCAGCAUCGAGACCCAAUAGGCCGGCCAGAACUGGCAUCCAUCGGCCCGUCCUGCAACCCCGAACGCGAGACGGGCUCGGUCCUGCUGCACCGUGCGCGAGACGAGCUCGGUCCUGCCGCACCGAGUGCGAGACGAGCGAUGGACCACAGCUGGGAGAGGGCCAGCCCUUUGAUGGAAGUAGUGCCCGGACGACGAGGAGAUGGGGCGAAGGUCGAAACGGUCCGAUCGCGGACGAGCCGAAGCCGGAGAAGCCGGCCGCUGCCGCAGUCAGAGCCACCGAGCCACUGUGAAGCCGCCACGACACCAGGAGGCCACCACCAGCCGGACCUCCCUGCGCUGCCACCCACGGCCAGAGCAACGGCCACGCCUGGCCGCUGCCCACCCGCGUCGCCCGGCGAGCUCCAAGCGUCGGAGCCGCCGGACACGCACCACCGAUGCCACACGCCGGAGCGCCAGCCACCACCACAGAACAUGCACGUCCACGCCCUGGCCAACACCACCGGAAGCCCCACCACCCCACCGGAGCAGCACAGCCACCAGCGACACCACCACCACCUUAGCAGGGCUGCCAACCGUCCCCGCCGCCGCCAUCCGCCAGCACCAGCCAGAUCUGGGCAGAGACACCCAGGUCCGCCGCCAGAGCAACCUGACUCCCUGGAGCCCCGCAAGCCGUCGCUGGAGGGGAGAGGGGGGAGAGGGGGGCACUCCUGCGGGCCACCACGACGCCGGGGAGGGGGGCGGAGCAGAGGAAGGUCGCCUGCACGCGGGAGGAGAUGCCGCCGCCGCUUGCGCAACGCGGCCUUUGGCCGGCGACACCACCGGCGGCGGCUAGGGAGGAGAGGCCUAGGCGAGGUGCUGGGGCGGCGGCGCUAG